rnacentral:piRNA from 1 species
UCUCAGCACUCUGGAGGCAGCGAAAGG